UGGAUUUUUCCUCAGAGAGGGAAUGGUGCAACAUAUAACUGGUUACACUUAGAAGAGUGAUGGCUGACUGGCUAGCGUUUUGCUGAGCCCUGAAGCGUAAGAACACAGAAGUGUCAAUCAUUUUGUCUCAAUGCAAGAAAGUUAGGUUGUUUAGUGUUUCUGAUCCCGACAGAGAGGAGAAACAAAAGCCAGGGGGAUUUGAAACAACCAACCAUGCAGCGCUGACUAGCUCAUGCUUGCCUGUGGAACAAUCGAGACAGCGAUAUCAGGUAGCAGCUCAGGAAUGGAACUACCCAUCUUCUGGAACCCAACAUCCCCUUUGAUAUCCAGGGAAGCACCUACACUCCUAGUUUUCAGGUACUUAUUGAAGACUACUCUUUUUACCCAGGCCUUCCUAGGGUAAAUGUUUUCCCAAUUUUAAUAAUUGAUGGUUUUACCUGUUUUAAUAAUGACUUGUGUACCACUGAGAUUUUAUUCCUUGGUUCAGUGUUUCCACCUGGGGUCACUUUGGCAAGCAUAGGAAGUGGUCACAGAAGUUGGCCAUUUUCCUGUGCUUGCCAAUGAAGACCAGGUAGGUUCAGACAACGUGGUCCAGUAUAUGCCCGUGAAGCAAUCUGAAGAGUGCUCUGCAGCAGUUUCUCUUUAUAGUGCUCUAGAGAGUGCUAAGGGUGCAGCGAGUGAACACAGAGCACAGGAUCAUCUGGAUCCUGCACCCUAGAAGUACCCUUUAGGCACACAGAUGUGCAGCCAGCAUGCAUCUGGAGUGAUCCCACAACAAUCUUAAGGUCCCAUGCAGAUCCUACUACAUUAGACUAGGUCUGAGAAAAGCUGUACAGUGAACAACUAAUUACUGUACAUAUUGUAAGCAAAGUGGUUUCUCUGCAUCCAUUUAUUUUUCUCACAAGCUAAGAAGAAAUUUUUCUCACAGCUCUGCGAUUUUUUUUUUUUGCAAAAGGCCAUCUUUCCAUCUCCAAUAUCUUCUGAGCUGUGACCAUUGGCUCCCACAAGGAAAAAAAAACCCAGCAAAAUUAAGCCAGUAAGACUUAAGUGUUUGUUGAUUACAUUGAGACACAGAAACGUGUUUCCUUAGUUUAUGCAAAAUAUUUUUUAACAUAGCUUCAGGUACUGACCUUGCUGUUAAACCAGGCAUCAAAUUAAUAACAAAUAUGUAUAUCAAAGAAAUACUAGUUUAACAGAACAACCCAAUGUAUGUUCUUCUGAAGUCCUCUGCUCAGCAGGUCUUAUUUCCUGCUCAAUACAGUACACUUAAGUAGCAUUCACACUGAAGCUUUAAUCCAGCUUCAGUCCACUUUCAGGGUGAGAAAACAAAUCAGCAAAGAGACAAGCUAUUUUCUUUUGGCAUUAUCUAAUUCAGAAAAUCUAGCUUUGGGUUAAAUAAUGUG
rnacentral:lncRNA from 1 species